CCUACGGGAGGCAGCAGUGAGGAAUAUUGGUCAAUGGACGAGAGCCUGAACCAGCCAAGUAGCGUGAAGGAUGACUGCCCUAUGGGUUGUAAACUUCUUUUAUAUGGGAAUAAAAUGUUCCACGUGUGGGAUUUUGUAUGUACCAUAUGAAUAAGGAUCGGCUAACUCCGUGCCAGCAGCCGCGGUAAUACGGAGGAUCCGAGCGUUAUCCGGAUUUAUUGGGUUUAAAGGGAGCGUAGGUGGAUUGUUAAGUCAGUUGUGAAAGUUUGCGGCUCAACCGUAAAAUUGCAGUUGAUACUGGCAGUCUUGAGUACAGUAGAGGUGGGCGGAAUUCGUGGUGUAGCGGUGAAAUGCUUAGAUAUCACGAAGAACUCCGAUUGCGAAGGCAGCUCACUGGACUGCAACUGACACUGAGGCUCGAAAGUGUGGGUAUCAAACAGGAUUAGAUACCCCAGUAGUC
rnacentral:rRNA from 1 species